rnacentral:rRNA from 1 species
GAUGAACGCUGGCGGCGUGCUUAACACAUGCAAGUCGAACGAAGCACUUUAUUUGAUUUCCUUCGGGACUGAUUAUUUUGUGACUGAGUGGCGGACGGGUGAGUAACGCGUGGGUAACCUGCCUUGUACAGGGGGAUAACAGUUGGAAACGGCUGCUAAUACCGCAUAAGCGCACGGCAUCGCAUGAUGCAGUGUGAAAAACUCCGGUGGUAUAAGAUGGACCCGCGUUGGAUUAGCUAGUUGGUGAGGUAACGGCCCACCAAGGCGACGAUCCAUAGCCGACCUGAGAGGGUGACCGGCCACAUUGGGACUGAGGCACGGCCCAGACUCCUACGGGAGGCAGCAGUGGGGAAUAUUGCACAAUGGGCGAAAGCCUGAUGCAGCGACGCCGCGUGAGCGAAGAAGUAUUUCGGUAUGUAAAGCUCUAUCAGCAGGGAAGAUAAUGACGGUACCUGACUAAGAAGCACCGGCUAAAUACGU